GUCCUGCUGGUCAUUAUUGCCCCAGGGCCACCAUCCAUCCUCUGCCCUGUCCACGUGGAACAUUCUCUAACCUCACCAAAUUAGUCUCCCAGGAGGAUUGCCAGCCAUGUCUCCCUGGUUAUUAUUGCGAUGCAAUGGGGCUUUCUGCGCCUUCAGGGGAAUGCUGGGCAGGUUUCUUCUGUCUGGGCGGCGCAGAUCGUCCCGACCCUCCUUUAAAAGACAGCCAUGGAGGACCGUGCCCGAAAGGGUAUUAUUGUUCUGAGGGCUCUGUGGCUCCUCAGCAGUGCCCCCUGGGAACCAUCAGUACAGAAGAUGGCCGAUCCAGCUGCAG